GUCAAUAACGUGAAAACUGUCACAAUUACUUCCUGGAUGAAUCCCAGCAAUAAAAGGAAACCAGUUGCGGCGCAAGGGUGCAAUCUCCCUAAAAUAUUUUUGAACUCUGCCCACUCAUCAGGACAUCACAUGCAUUCUCCUAAAUAUUACAGAUAGACCUGAAAAGGGGAUAACGAGCCGCUACAGCAAGUCUUCUGGAGCUGCUUCAGAAUACAAAAUGCGGUCUCAUCAUCUCAAAAGGUCUCUAAUUUUGAAAGAUGUCAAAAAGGUUACACAUUUACGUCAACUCCAUGAGUUAUAUGUGUCCAUAACUCUUUGUUGAGGCUGGUUAAUUGCUAAACUGUUCAAGAGUCCUCUCCUGCUGCGUUUUUAGGUUUAAAAAAAGUGUAUUUAAGCUAUUUCUUGAGUCAUGCAACUAUACAUGUGGUUCAAAAGAACCAUUUUACAUCAUAAAGACACUUUUGCAAAAGUUCAAUGG